rnacentral:rRNA from 1 species
UACGAAGGGGGCUAGCGUUGCUCGGAAUUACUGGGCGUAAAGCGCACGUAGGCGGAUUGUUCAGUCGGGGGUGAAAUCCUGGAGCUCAACUCCAGAACUGCCUUCGAUACUGGCGAUCUCGAGUCCGGGAGAGGUGAGUGGAACUGCGAGUGUAGAGGUGAAAUUCGUAGAUAUUCGCAAGAACACCAGUGGCGAAGGCGGCUCACUGGCCCGGUACUGACGCUGAGGUGCGAAAGCGUGGGGAGCAAACAGG